rnacentral:rRNA from 1 species
CCCAGACUCCUACGGGAGGCAGCAGUGGGGAAUAUUGCACAAUGGGGGGAACCCUGAUGCAGCGACGCCGCGUGAAGGAAGAAGUAUCUCGGUAUGUAAACUUCUAUCAGCAGGGAAGAAAGAGGACGGUACCUGACUAAGAAGCCCCGGCUAACUACGUGCCAGCAGCCGCGGUAAUACGUAGGGGGCAAGCGUUAUCCGGAUUUACUGGGUGUAAAGGGAGCGUAGACGGCUGUGCAAGUCUGAAGUGAAAGCCCGUGGCUCAACCGCGGAACUGCUUUGGAAACUGUAUAGCUUGAGUACUGGAGAGGCAGGCGGAAUUCCUAGUGUAGCGGUGAAAUGCGUAGAUAUUAGGAGGAACACCAGUGGCGAAGGCGGCCUGCUGGACAGAAACUGACGUUGAGGCUCGAAAGCGUGGGGAGCAAACAGGAUUAGAUACCCUGGUA